rnacentral:rRNA from 1 species
ACGAACGCUGGCGGCGUGCUUAACACAUGCAAGUCGAACGGGUCUGCCCUGUUUUUUGCGGGGUGGGUCAGUGGCGAACGGGUGAGUAACACGUGAGUAACCUGCCCCUCACUUCUGGAUAACCGCUUGAAAGGGUGGCUAAUACGGGGUGUUCUGGCUGUGCCGCAUGGUGUGGCUGGGAAAGAUUCACUUUUGUGGUGUUUUGGUGGGGGAUGGGCUCGCGGCCUAUCAGCUUGUUGGUGGGGUGAUGGCCUGCCAAGGCUUUGACGGGUAGCCGGCCUGAGAGGGUGGGCGGCCACACUGGGACUGAGAUACGGCCCAGACUCCUGCGGGAGGCAGCAGUGGGGGGUAUUGCACAAUGGGCGGAAGCCUGAUGCAGCGACGUCGCGUGAGGGAUGGAGGCCUUCGGGUUGUGAACCUCUUUCGCCGGUGAAGAAGGUCCUGCUCUUUGUGGUGGGGUUGACGGUAGCCGGGUUAUGAAGCGCCGGCUAACUACGUG